rnacentral:rRNA from 1 species
GACGAACGCUGGCGGCGUGCCUAAUACAUGCAAGUCGAACGCACUCUCGUUUAGAUUGAAGGAGCUUGCUCCUGAUUGAUAAACAUUUGAGUGAGUGGCGGACGGGUGAGUAACACGUGGGUAACCUGCCCUAAAGUGGGGGAUAACAUUUGGAAACAGAUGCUAAUACCGCAUAAAACCUAAACACCGCAUGGUGUAGGGUUGAAAGAUGGUUUCGGCUAUCACUUUAGGAUGGACCCGCGGUGCAUUAGUUAGUUGGUGAGGUAAAGGCUCACCAAGACCGUGAUGCAUAGCCGACCUGAGAGGGUAAUCGGCCACACUGGGACUGAGACACGGCCCAGACUCCUACGGGAGGCAGCAGUAGGGAAUCUUCCACAAUGGACGAAAGUCUGAUGGAGCAACGCCGCGUGAGUGAAGAAGGUUUUCGGAUCGGUAAAACUCUGUUGUUGGAGAAGAAUGUAUCUGAUAGUAACUGAUCAGGUAGUGACGGUAUCCAACCAGAAAGCCAACGG